rnacentral:lncRNA from 1 species
ACAGCUAUUUGUAUUUGGGGCGGGCAGCUACGAAAUAAGAAGAUACGGUUUCACUGUGACAACCAGGCCGUAGUACAUAUAUUGAACACGAUGUCUUCCAAGUCCUCACAGGUUAUGUCAUUAAUAAGGGUACUUACGUUACAGUGUCUGCGCUUUAAUUGUUUGUUGAGAGCUUCUCAUAUAGCCGGGGCAAAAAAUGAAAUAAGCGACGCAUUAUCUCGUUUUCAGCUCACCCGGUUCAAAACGUUAGCACCAGAGGCCGAUUCGUCCCCGACACCAAUACCAGACUAUCUUUGGGAUAUCUUCAAAGCAGAUACAUUUGGGUCAUUGGGGACUCUAUACCUCAUUGGGCAGGUGUGAGAGCCAGCGCAAGGGGGAUUGACAAUUUACGGCUACCCUGUACAAUAGCAUGGUGGUGCAAAAGAGGGAUGAGUCUGGAUGAGCUGACACAUGCAUUACAACUCCCAGCCCUCUUUAGGAGUCCUCCUCAGGUGAUUGUGAUACAUCUAGGGGGGAAUGAUUUAACAAAGCAUUCUGUUAAGUGCAUCUUUAAAAUUAUACAGGACUCCUUUGAUUAUAUAAAGAGGGCGUUUCCAAACGCAGUAACGAUCUGGGUUGAUAUAAUUCAGAGAUUAAAUUGGGGUGUUCCAGACAAUGAAAUCAAGAGUAUAGAAACUAAAAGAAAACGAGUCAACCAGCUAGGUAGGAAAUUGUCCGUAAAAAAUCUCAGAGUCGAUAUAGAUGUGAAAACUAAAGGCUUUUUUCGACCUGACGGUAUUCAUUUGUCUGACGUAGGUUUAGAUUUUUAUCUAAAUGCUCUUCAGGAAUGUAUGGAGACAUACAACGCGUAAGAAUUUUGGGGGGAAAUAAAGGUUUAUUUCGUGGCGGAAAAUUCUUUCGCUGGGACGCGAUCAGGGGCAUAUUAUAUCUAUCGCUAAUUUAAUAACAAUCUUUUUGCAUCCCCGUGGGUGUCUCGGCCUACCACAGUAGUUAUCUUAGGAGGCUGAAAGCCCAUGUGGUCUAAAUUACAGUCGUUGUGACUACAGUUUUUUGUGAGCUUGUAGGAACUUGCCAGAGAGCGAAAAGGGCUAGGCGUUCUUACAAUGACUCCCUCUUUUGCAUAGGUUUGUUUUUCUCGAAUGUAAGCAUUGUUGCGCUAAUGGUUAUUGGUACAAAUAGGGUACCUGGCUAUUUGGUUUAUCGGUUUAAUAUGGUACAACGGUGUACCAUUAUUUGGUACAAAUAGGGUACCUGGCUAUAUGGUUUAUCGGUUUAAUUAAUAUGGUACAAGGGUACUAUUAUUAGGUACAAAUAGGGUACCUGGUAACCGUAUAUGGUUUACUUGGAUACAUUAUGGUACUAAGGAGUGCCAUUGGUUUAAAGGUACUAAAGGGGUACCUUGGUAUACUGGAUAUUUGUUUACAGCGCAACAAGGUUAGGAAAAUAAGUUUUAAAAACAUGCCCUCGGUCGCUUCCCAGCGCGAGAUUUUACGGCUCUAGCAAAAGCUGACAUGACCAAGUAUGCUCCAUAUCUCUUUAAUCUUUAUAAGAAAUUGAAAACAAUAUAUUAUGUUUCUAAGAAGCUAAUUAUUUGAAGCUUUGUGAAAACUUUUACAAAUUUAUAAUAAGUAAAGGAUUGAAAAUCG